GACCGGAUAGCUCAGUGGUUUAGAGCAUUCCCCUAGCAGUGGCAAGGUCCCUGGUUCAAUCCCAGGUCUGGUCA
rnacentral:tRNA from 1 species